rnacentral:rRNA from 1 species
GAUGAACGCUAGCUACAGGCUUAACACAUGCAAGUCGAGGGGAAACGAUAUUGGAAGCUUGCUUCCGAUAGGCGUCGACCGGCGCACGGGUGAGUAACGCGUAUCCAACCUGCCCACCACUUGGGGAUAACCUUGCGAAAGUAAGACUAAUACCCAAUGACGCCCAUAGAAGACAUCUGAAAUGGAUUAAAGAUUUAUCGUGGAUGGAUGGGGAUGCGUCUGAUUAGCUUGUUGGCGGGGUAACGGCCCACCAAGGCGACGAUCAGUAGGGGUUCUGAGAGGAAGGUCCCCCACAUUGGAACUGAGACACGGUCCAAACUCCUACGGGAGGCAGCAGUGAGGGAUAUUGGUCAAUGGGCGAGAGCCUGAACCAGCCAAGUAGCGUGCAGGAUGACGGCCCUAUGGGUUGUAAACUGCUUUUAUAAGGGAAUAAAGUGAGCCUCGUGAGGCUUUUUGCAUGUACCUUAUGAAUAAGGACCGGCUAAUUCCGUGCCAGCCGCCGCGGUAA